rnacentral:rRNA from 1 species
AUUGAACGCUGGCGGCAGGCCUAACACAUGCAAGUCGAACGAGUGGCGGACGGGUGAGUAAUGUCUGGGCAACUGCCUGAUGGAGGGGGAUAACUACUGGAAACGGUAGCUAAUACCGCAUACCAUCGGAUGUGCCCAGAUGGGAUUAGCGAGUAGGUGGGGUAACGGCUCACCUAGGCGACGAUCCCUAGCUGGUCUGAGAGGAGGACCAGCCAAACGGGAACUGAUACACGGUCCAGACUCCUACGGGAGGCAGCAGUGGGGAAUAUUGCACAAUGGGCGCAAGCCUGAUGCAGCCAUGCCGCGUGUAUGAAGAAGGCCUUCGGGUUGUAAAGUACUUUCAGUGGGGAGGCGUUACCCACAGAAGAAGCACCGGCUAACUCCGGGCCAGCAGCCGCGGUAAUUC